GAGCUCUUACUUCAUUUAAAUGGAACAUGGGUCUCCAAAACCCGAUGUUAUAGGUUCAAAUCCUACAGAGCGUG
rfam:Lupinus angustifolius cultivar Tanjil chromosome LG14, whole genome shotgun sequence.